CAAGUACCUCGUUUUGUCCUGCUCUUCCUCAGUGGACUCACACUGGUGGCAUUGCAACAACAGGAUGUGAAAAUGCCGGAUUCCUGUUCCAGGUAGCUUCCAGGUAGCUGACUGACAGAACGACAACCCAGAGGAUAUCCAAGCCUCCUCUUCUCGAAAAUCCUCCAGGCCUAAUGGAUUCCAGCUGAGAACAGUGUGGCGAGCCACCGCUGCUGCCGCUGCUCCUCCUCCUCCUCCUCCAACGCUUAGCGGAAGCCCAGGACCCCCGCAGCCGCCUCCUUGUCGCCCUAAGGAGGACUCAGGGACUGGGGAACCGGCUGGAGCAGGGUUGCCCUAGACUCUCAAACAGCGGACCCGGGCGCUCAGAACAAAGGCACAACUGCUCCAGCUGCCAUGAGAGCCGGAGCAUGCGGGCUCCGGAGUCCCUCACAGUCGCUUGGUUUUUUUGUUUUUUGUUUUAUUUUUUUGAAACUGUUCAGGCUACCCUGGUGCUUGCUAGAAAUCCAGACUGGCCUCACGCUCCUCCAGUCUUUGCCUCCCAAGUGCUAGGAUUACAGGAGUGAGCCACCAUCCUAGAGUGACACUGUGACAGGCCAUGAGGCAGAGGAGGAAAUAGAAGUAAAAAUGGGGUGGGGUUGGAGGUGGGAUAAAAUACUGAUGCCUUGAUUUUUCCACACGAACAUGUCGUUAAUAUUACUUCUUUAUUACUUUUACUUUUGGGAUUUCGUUUUUAGACAGGGUCUCAUGAAGCUAAGGGUGUUAAUACAUUACCACUGUGAUGUGUUGGGUUUUUUUUUUUUUUUUUUUUUUUUUUUGGUUGAUUUUGGUUUUGGACACAGAAUUUCAGGCAGCCCAGGCUGGCCUCCAACUUGCUAAGUAAGUGGAAGCUGGCUUUACCAUCCUCUUAACCUGCUAAACGCUGGGAUUACAGGAGAAACAAAGAGCUGAGGUGGCUACUAAUCUAUCAAAGCUAAUAGGGUCGUCAAGCCCCUCAGCAAAACUAGCACCUGUUAGAGUCCUGGCUUCUCUGAGCAUUCCUCGCCACUCUGUAUCCUAAAGCCUCCAGCCCCUGAGAUCCCCUUAUGUUCCCCAUCUUCUCAUUCCUAUAUAGCCCAGCCCAGGAACUCUCUUGGUUUCCAUUCUUUUGGCUUCUUGGUUCUUCUCCCUCUCCUGGUCUCUGUCCCUCUGUCUCUCCCCUCAUGGCCAGAUUCAGUCUGGAUCUUUCCAGAUGCCUCUAGCCAUUCUCCCCCUCAUAUCUACAAUAAAAACAUUCUCCUCAACCAUA